UUCAAUAGGCCAUCUGCAGGCUUAUUCAAUGAUCGAUAAACAUGCACAAAUGAGCAUGACUCAAAAAUAAUGGAAAGAAGUUGAAUGUCGUGAAGCCAGUCUCCAUCAGCACCCAAAGUUUUUGAAUCUCCUCGAAAAAGACAAAUUGCAUCAAGAGAGUUCAACUCAACGAUUAAGCGCGAACAAAUUACAAAGUGCACCAGUCAGAUACCUUCAAGGAUAGCAAGGAGUUCAGCCAGAAACAGAGGGUAUGGAAUCUGAAUGGAAACGGAAGGCGAUGCCUUAAUAAAACCAUAAAUACUCAAACUAGUGCCUCGGUCUCCAUUGCAAGAGGCAUCUGUGUUCAAUGGGAACAAACCAACAGGAGGCGAGCCCUAAGAUUUGGUCUCAAUCCUUCCAAAUCGACAAACAAAUGUUGGCAACAAUUUCAAGCUUUUCUUUUCUUMGAGCAUUCAAAAGCAUCUCCUAGUGGUUUAAAAAAGUUGCGUGCGGUGUUGAAGGAGGGGGAGAAGUAGGAAGAACAAGUCUCUGGAUAUGCUUAAAGCGUUUACCUCAAAAAGGGCAUGGAUCAGAGUCUCAAACUUCGAGUGGCAGCAAAGACAAAGGAAAAAUAUCCAGCAGAUUUUUAUACUGGUUCACCACUGAGGGCUACGUCCAGUCUUCCAUUCAKACGCCCUUGUGCACCCACCAGGACAGUGCCGCGGCACUGCACUUUCGGCCCCCUGGCCUGCAGCAUCUGCUUUCUCCUGUUUUCAUCCUGCUUCGUUCCCGACGCGUCUCGGCUUGAUCGUGGCUCAUCCCUAGCUCGUUCAUACGUCAUUUUGACUCCACCAAUC